rnacentral:misc_RNA from 1 species
UUAAGUUCAGCGGGUAGUCCUACCUGAUUUGAGGUCAAGAUUGUCAAUACAAGUGAGGUUUAGAAAGCAGCAUUCCAGCAGAUGUCUAGGAUGUAGAUAAUUAUCACACCGGUAGACAGUUCCACCCAAGGUACCGCUAAUUAAUUUCAGGGGAGCAGACCACAAAAAGCCCACACACAAUCCCCCCCAAAUCCAAGCCA